GGAUAACUGCUAGAAAUGGUAGCUAAUACCGGAUAUGACGAUUGGCCGCAUGGUCUGGUCGUGGAAAGAAUUUCGGUUGGGGAUGGACUCGCGGCCUAUCAGGUUGUUGGUGAGGUAAUGGCUCACCAAGCCUACGACGGGUAGCCGGCCUGAGAGGGUGACCGGCCACACUGGGACUGAGACACGGCCCAGACUCCUACGGGAGGCAGCAGUGGGGAAUAUUGCACAAUGGGCGCAAGCCUGAUGCAGCAACGCCGCGUGAGGGAUGACGGCCUUCGGGUUGUAAACCUCUUUUAGUAGGGAAGAAGCGAAAGUGACGGUACCUGCAGAAAAAGCACCGGCUAACUACGUGCCAGCAGCCGCGGUAAUACGUAGGGUGCAAGCGUUGUCCGGAAUUAUUGGGCGUAAAGAGCUCGUAGGCGGUUUGUCGCGUCUGCUGUGAAAUCCCGAGGCUCAACCUCGGGUCUGCAGUGGGUACGGGCAGACUAGAGUGCGGUAGGGGAGAUUGGAAUUCCUGGUGUAGCGGUGGAAUGCGCAGAUAUCAGGAGGAACACCGAUGGCGAAGGCAGAUCUCUGGGCCGUAACUGACGCUGAGGAGCGAAAGCAUGGGGAGCGAACAGGAUUAGAUACCCUGGUAGUCCAUGCCGUAAACGUUGGGAACUAGAUGUGGGGACCAUUCCACGGUCUCCGUGUCGCAGCUAACGCAUUAAGUUCCCCGCCUGGGGAGUACGGCCGCAAGGCUAAAACUCAAAGGAAUUGACGGGGGCCCGCACAAGCGGCGGAGCAUGCGGAUUAAUUCGAUGCAACGCGGAGAACCUUACCAAGGCUUGACAUAUACCGGAAACAUGCAGAGAUGUGUNCCCCCCAAGGUCGGUAUACAGGUGGUGCAUGGUUGUCGUCAGCUCGUGUCGUGAGAUGUUGGGUUAAGUCCCGCAACGAGCGCAACCCUCGUUCUAUGUUGCCAGCACGUAAUGGUGGGAACUCAUAGGAGACUGCCGGGGUCAACUCGGAGGAAGGUGGGGAUGACGUCAAAUCAUCAUGCCCCUUAUGUCUUGGGCUUCACGCAUGCUACAAUGGCCGGUACAAAG
rnacentral:rRNA from 1 species